rnacentral:tRNA from 1 species
CGCUCUGUAGUUCAAAGGAUAGAACAGCCCCCUCCUAAGGGGCAGAUUCCGGUUCGAGUCCGGACGGAGCGGCCA